rnacentral:rRNA from 1 species
GACGAACGCUGGCGGCGUGCUUAACACAUGCAAGUCGAACGCUGAAGACCUGGCUUUUGUUGGGUUGGAUGAGUGGCGAACGGGUGAGUAACACGUGAGUAACCUGCCCUCUUCUUUGGGAUAACGCCCGGAAACGGGUGCUAAUACUGGAUAUUCACUGAUCUUCGCAGGGGGGUUGGUGGAAAGGUUUGUUCUGGUGGGGGAUGGGCUCGCGGCCUAUCAGCUUGUUGGUGGGGUGAUGGCCUACCAAGGCUUUGACGGGUAGCCGGCCUGGGAGGGUGACCGGUCACAUUGGGACUGGGAUACGGCCCAGACUCCUACGGGAGGCAGCAGUGGGGGAUAUAGCACAAUGGGCGAAUGCCUGAUGCCGCGACGCCGCGUGAGGGAUGGAGGCCUUCGGGUUGUAAACCUCUUUCGCUCAUGGUCAAGCCGCAACUGUGGGUUGUGGUGAGGGUAGUGGGUAAAGAAGCGCCGGCUAACUACGUG